GGGAAGGGCAGCCUCAUCUCAUGUUUGCAAUGGCUACGGGCACUUUAUUAGGUACACUUCUAGUAUCAGUUAAAGCCCUUUUUGCCUUCAGAACUGCCCCAUUUCUUCAUGGCACAGAUUCAAUAAAGUGCUGGAAACAUUCAGAGAUUUUAGUCCAUGUUGACAUGAAAUCAUCACACAGCUGCUGCUGACUUGACAGCUGCAUGGUGAGAAUCUCCUGUUCCCCCACAUCCCAAAGGUUCUCUGUUGGACUGAGAUAAGAAACCAGUUUGAGAUGAUGUGAGCUUUGGGACAGUGUGCAUUAUCCUGCUGGAAGCAGCCAUCAGCAGAUGGUACACUGUGGUUAUAAAGGGAUGGACAUGGUCAGCAACAACAUUCAGUUUCUGGCCAUCCAGCUCUAAAGCUGUGAAAACACCAACAUGCUGACUGCAACAGGAAAAUAUUUAUGGUCAGAGAACAAUCUCCCUUUGGCGUGGUGAUGUAGUCUAAUCAAAACAGCGAUUGAA
ensembl:lncRNA